rnacentral:rRNA from 1 species
UACGAAGGGGGCUAGCGUUGCUCGGAAUCACUGGGCGUAAAGGGUGCGUAGGCGGGUCUUUAAGUCAGGGGGGAAAUCCUGGAGCUCAACUCCAGAACUGCCUUUGAUACUGAAGAUCUUGAGUUCGGGAGAGGUGAGUGGAACUGCGAGUGUAGAGGUGAAAUUCGUAGAUAUUCGCAAGAACACCAGUGGCGAAGGCGGCUCACUGGCCCGAUACUGACGCUGAGGCACGAAAGCGUGGGGGGCAAACAGG